CCUUUCUGAUGAAACCGUGGACAAGAAGAAGUUGAUUGAUGAUGUCAGACAAGCGCUUUAUGCAUCCAAAAUAUGUAGUUAUGCACAGGGGAUGAAUUUGAUCCGUGCCAAGAGUAUUGAAAUGGGUUGGGGCCUAACACUUGGAGAGCUUGCUAGGAUUUGGAAGGGUGGUUGCAUCAUCCGUGCCAUUUUCUUGGACCGAAUUAAGCAAGCUUAUGAUAGGAAUGCAGACCUUGCUAGCCUUCUUGUAGAUCCAGAGUUUGCAAAGGAGAUGAUAGAGCGACAAGCAGCUUGGCGUAGAGUUGUCUGCGUUGCUAUCAACUCUGGCGUUAGCACUCCUGGUAUGUCUUCCAGUCUUGCUUACUUU
rnacentral:lncRNA from 1 species